UACCAGCACCCCGAGUGGUCGGGACGUUUAUUGGGCCUAAAGCAUCCGUAGCCGGUUCUACAAGUCUUCCGUUAAAUCCACCUGCUUAACAGAUGGGCUGCGGAAGAUACUAUGGAGCUAGGAGGCGGGAGAGGCAAGCGGUACUCAGUGGGUAGGGGUAAAAUCCUUUGAUCCAUUGAAGACCACCAGUGGCGAAGGCGGCUUGCCAGAACGCGCUCGACGGUGAGGGAUGAAAGCUGGGGGAGCAAACCGG
rnacentral:rRNA from 1 species